CAUGUCAACAUAUUUUAUUGUUUAGGGGGAAUUACACUUACUUAUUUUCUAGUACAAGUCGCUACCGGUUUUGCUAUGACUUUUUACUACCGACCAACCGUUACAGAGGCUUUUUCCUCGGUUCAAUACAUAAUGACCGAGGCCAACUUUGGUUGGUUAAUCCGAUCCGUUCAUCGAUGGUCAGCAAGUAUGAUGGUUUUAAUGAUGAUCCUGCAUGUAUUUCGUGUGUAUCUCACAGGGGGAUUUAAAAAACCCCGUGAAUUAACUUGGGUCACAGGUGUGGUUUUGGCUGUUUUGACUGCAUCAUUUGGUGUAACUGGUUAUUCUUACGGCCCCUUUUUGCGUCGGAAAUAA
rnacentral:rRNA from 1 species